rnacentral:lncRNA from 1 species
ACAAUGAACACUUCAAAUUACAAUUGACUGAAAUUGAAUUGGCCUUCUAUCAAAUAUGCCAACCAGUAACAAUCUGACACAAAUGGAAAAUAAAAACUUGACUGGAAAUACAUGCAUGUAUGAUCUAUGCGCUCUAUGAUCCAUGAGCAAGCAAUGAAAGGGCUCAAAAAGCAUCACUGCCACGUCAGUACUCUCACGACCUUCUCCAGGUUAUUGACAGUUUUGUUUUCUUCACAACACUUAUGGAAGAAAACCUGAAAUUCUCAUGGCAUUGUCAAGGAUCUGAAUUUGCUUGAAACAGGAACAAUUCACAGAAAAUAACUUACUCAACUACCAGGACAGACAAGAUGCUACAGAAAACCAGUUUGAUGAUACAGGACUGUACAACCCUGUAACUGUAAGUUACAGCAACGUACAGCAAGACAGCAAAGCUACAUAAAGCUUCAGACAAUGUACAGCAAGACAGCAAGCUACAUAAAGUUUCUCUACAUAAAGCUUGUAUUGAUCCAGCUUCUUCAGAUCCCUGGAAAGUAUGACUUCUUGACAAUCUAAGCUUGGACAAGGUAAUUAAGAAACAUCAAGUAGAGAAACUGAUAUGUAAACACAUAUUCAGGUUGCAUCAGCAACAAAAAUUCCUGAAGAAAAUAAAUAAAUAAAAGCAUACACUUGCUGCAUUGCUGCAAGUUAGCUGAAGAUGAAGGAUCCAUCAUGUUAUGGGGAAAUUCAUACACUUCAGACCAUGUGCCACAUGUGUGGAACAUAAAGAGAGUAAUAAUGAAGCUGCAAAAAGCAUGGAUAACCAUCAGUUACGGCAACCUGAAAAGGAAAAUGAGUAUUUAAAUGAAGAGGGUAAUGCUUGGAAAAUGGAAAUACUGUAGCACACGAAGGAAAUGUCAUGAACACUGAGAGCAUUAUAAUGCCGCACCUGGAAAUGGAGUUCAACACAAGAGAAGGACAAGAAUUCUUCGACUUCUAUUUGAUUGUCGCCGGAUUCUCAGUUACCAGUGUUGCAGCAUCGAGAACAGCAAACAAGAAGAGGUACAAUGAAUAUAAAAGAAUCACAAUGAACUGUAACAAACAUGGCGAAACAAAAGAAGUAGAAAGAGAAAGUGUAGUACCUAUAAGGAGGACAACAGUUAUAGCAAAAUCAGAGUGCCAGGUAGUGAUGGUGAUCUCAGAAAAGCGGUGGCCACUGGAAAAUUCACUAUCAUCUCACUGUAAAAGAAACAGUCUCAAAAGAACAACUAAAAUUUACAGAAGCCAUAGGACCAUAAAUCCAUCAUCAAUGUAUUAUAAAUUAAACACCGGGAAACUAUGAUAUACAUUCAGACAAAUUCAUGUGAUCAAGCAUUCUAUAUGAACUCACUGUACGAACAACAAUGACAUACUAUAUGGAGCUACAGCUUCUAGAAUAAAUUACAAAAUCUAUAGGGCAGUGUAAAUCCACCAUCACCAUACUGUAAAUUCAAAAUCUAAAGGACAGUGUAAAUCCACCAUCACCAUAUUGCAAAUAUGCAGCCAGAUUAGUUUGUGUGAUGAAGCAUUCUAUAUCAGCUCACUGUACAAACAACAGUCAC